UACAGGGGUCUCGAGCGUUAAUCGGAAUUACUGGGCGUAAAGCGUGCGCAGGCGGUCUUGCAAGACAGAUGUGAAAUCCCCGGGCUCAACCUGGGAACUGCAUUUGUGACUGCAAGGCUAGAGUACGGUAGAGGGGGAUGGAAUUCCGCGUGUAGCAGUGAAAUGCGUAGAUAUGGGGAGGAACACCGAUGGCGAAGGCAAUCCCCUGGACCUGUACUGACGCUCAUGCACGAAAGCGUGGGGAGCAAACAGG
rnacentral:rRNA from 1 species